AAGUCGUAACAAGGUUUCCGUAGGUGAACCUGCGGAAGGAUCAUUAACACGUAUCCAAACGUUUAAAAAAAAAAGAAAACCCCCCUGUGAACAUUUGCUUGCUCUUGCAGCCCGCCUGGCUAGAAAGUCGCUGCUGCUUGUGGGCGUUCGUGCCCCCCAGGAUUACCCCGCUACCAGUCGAAACGACCAACCUGCGCAACCAUUACGUGUUGAGCCCGUGGGCGUCGUAAACCGAAAUACUUGAACAACUGUUAACAAUGGAUAUCUUGGUUCUC
rnacentral:misc_RNA from 1 species